rnacentral:rRNA from 1 species
CAGUAGCCGCGGGAAUACGAGGGGGGCAAGCGUUGUUCGGAAUUAUUGGGCGUAAAGGGUGCGUAGGCGGCUUGACAAGUCUUGUGUGAAAUCUAUGGGCUCAACCCAUAGUCUGCACGGGAAACUGGCGAGCUAGAGUAUGGCAGAGGGGGGUAGAAUUCCACGUGUAGCAGUGAAAUGCGUAGAGAUGUGGAGGAAUACCGAUGGCGAAGGCAGCCCCCUGGGCCAAUACUGACGCUCAUGCACGAAAGCGUGGGGAGCAAACAGGAUUAGAUACCCCGGUAGUCCCUGUCUCUUAUAC